AUUGAACGCUGGCGGCAUGCCUUACACAUGCAAGUCGAACGGCAGCACGGGAGCUUGCUCCUGGUGGCGAGUGGCGAACGGGUGAGUAAUACAUCGGAACGUACCCAGGAGUGGGGGAUAACGUAGCGAAAGUUACGCUAAUACCGCAUAUUCUGUGAGCAGGAAAGCGGGGGAUCGCAAGACCUCGCGCUCUUGGAGCGGCCGAUGUCGGAUUAGCUAGUUGGUGAGGUAAAAGCUCACCAAGGCGACGAUCCGUAGCAGGUCUGAGAGGGUUAUCGGCCAAACUGGGACUGGGACACGGCCCAGACUCCUACGGGAGGCAGCAGUGGGGAAUUUUGGACAAUGGGGGCAACCCUGAUCCAGCCAUGCCACGUGAGUGAAGAAGGCCUUCGGGUUGUAAAGCUCUUUCGGCGGGGAAGAAAUGGCAACGGCUAAUAUCCGUUGUUGAUGACGGUACCCGCAUAAGAAGCACCGGCUAACUACGUGCCAGCAGCCGCCGUAAAAC
rnacentral:rRNA from 1 species